rnacentral:rRNA from 1 species
UACGUAGGGGGCUAGCGUUGUCCGGAAUCAUUGGGCGUAAAGCGUGCGCAGGCGGUUUUGUAAGCCAGAUGUGAAAGCCCCGGGCUUAACCUGGGAAUGGCAUUUGGGACUGCAAGGCUUGAGUGCGGCAGAGGAGACUGGAAUUCCUGGUGUAGCAGUGAAAUGCGUAGAUAUCAGGAGGAAUACCGAUGGCGAAGGCAGGUCUCUGGGCUGACACUGACGCUCAUGCACGAAAGCGUGGGGAGCAAACAGG